ensembl:misc_RNA 7SK 7SK RNA
UGAUGUGAGGAUGAUCUGGUUGCGACAUCUAUCACCCCAUUGAUCACGUGGGUUAAUUCCGCUGAUCUGGCUGGCUAGGUGGGUGUCCCCUUCUUCCCUCACCGCUCCAUGUGCAUCCCUCCCGAAGCUGCGCGCUGGAAGAGGAGGACCAUCCCUGAUAGAGGUGGAUCCGUCUUAGGUCAAUGGUUUACCAGUAGCUGCGCCUCCCUGCUAGAACUUCCAAACAACUCUAACUUUUAAUUUUAAUUUUAAUUUUUCCUUUAUUCAGAUACAGAUUAUUCUUCAGUAGUGUAUUUGGGGGUACAGUACUGAAAAACUCAUCCUUAAAUAAUUCUGCAAGCUGGGAAGGUGGCUCAGUUGUAGAGUGCUU